GCACUCUAGCCCAGGUGAUAGAGCAAGACUCUGUCUCAACAAACAAACAAGAAACAGCUAAAACAACGGUGUCAGUGGUUAUGAAAUAGUGCCUGGAGGGGAACACGAGGGGACAGCUGGGGAAGGUAAUGUUCUGCUUCUGGAUCUAGCGCUGGCAUCCUGGUUCUCUUUUCAUUAGGACUUGAGAACUUUUCUGCAUGUAUGCUAUACUGCAAUAAAAAAAAAUUUUUUUUUAACUAAAAGUUUUUCACCAAAUUCCAAAUGCCAGGGAAUGAGGAGGUGACCUUUUCUUUUUUAUGGACCUCUGGGAAGGAGGCCGAUAAAAUUGAGGAAAUGCUCAGUUCACUGCACAAUCAUUAUUCUCCUCCUCUUCAUUUGGUCCUCUUAAAACCAUUGUGCCAAUGUAGAUCAGAGCCUAGAUGGUCAGUAUUUGCACUUCCUUUUGCACUUUGAAUAUUGCAUCAGGAAUUACUCACUUCCCAGUAGAGGAGCCAAGGCCUCGAAAGGAGUUCUGUUUUCCAAAGGAAUGGCAUUCUCUCCUGCGCCCUGAUCGUCAGUUAGAAGACAUGGGUUGAGUUUUAUGGCCAGUAACUGGUUUCAGGUGGGGAGAGCUGGCUGGGAGAGCAAGUGAAACUUACCACAGUCUGGUCUCUAGCAAAAGCUUGGCGACGGCUCCAAGGCAGGGGCGCACAUCCACAGCCCCGUUGGCCAGGGAGUGGGCUGGAAAAUAGGUCCACUGGCCUUGGGACCCUGACUGGGUGGGUGUCCUGUAGCAUUGUUUUCACACGAUCGCAGCUCAAGGUCGGACCACCGAGCUGAUGUUGGUGAGGACAUUCGCUCCGUGACACGGUCUUUGCUUUACGGGGACCCUCAGGAGGAGAAAUGUGACCUAAAUUGAAGAACAGGAAACUGGCACUUCUCAGCAUGCGACUUAUUUUUAUCUUAAGAACACUGUGAACCAGAUGAAGAAACUGAAUAGUAAGGAGGUGCCCAGUGUGACUGGCCAACGUGCCCAGUGAAUGAGAGAAGGAGCCAGGAUUUGAGCCUCUGCCCCUUACUCUUCAGAUCAACAAGGAAGAAGAAUGUGUGUUGAUGACAAUGGUCUGAGUUGCUGGUGAUCAGGGCACGGGCAACAGGCCUCCGUCUUCCCUGAGUCUGCUCUGCACCACCCCGCCCUGCCUGGCAGGGAAGCUGCCAGGACACUCCGUGUGGGCCCAUUUCUGCACAAAAUCCAGCUGCACUUCACCAAGGCCACUGGCCCUUCAAGCCCACCGCCUGCUCCUAAGACUCGUGGGACGAAAGGGAUGCGCCUGCUCUACUGAAGAUAGAAGCAAGGGAAGCAGCGCUACGGUCGGCUCCUCAGUCCCCAAGCCCGUGACGUGACGUCUGCAGAGUGGCCGAUAGGGGUCUGGAGGCGACAUCUCAAUAGGUCACCUUUGGAGGAGCCGAAGUUGGGGCACUUAUUUUUUUGAUUCUGGACUUCCCUCAUUUUAUUUUUUUCAGAAAAAACAGAAAUGAAUCACCCCAAAGAAUCCACAUAAAAAUGAUAUGUGGGAGUUUUUGAAUAAAAAGAAACCAUAAAUAAGUAGUAAAUCCUCCAUAGGCCCAUUGGAAAUGGAUCGAGGUAAUGUGUUUACUGCCUCACUCCCAGAGUGCAGGUAUUUAUUAUAAUGCAGGGCCGUUCGUUGUACUAGCCCAUCGUUUAUAAAAUUCUCAUCAUAGUAUUAGAGUAGGAACCCAUUUUCUUGGACGUAUUGACAUAAUAAACUGUAAUUAGUGGCUUGUAAACAGCCAUAAUUCAUUGUUUCCAGGAAAUGGAAUGGGGACAGUGACAUGUCUGUGUGCAUAGCCGGUGUCCUCUCUGAGUGUUUCCACCAGGCUUGCUGCUCACCUGGAGUGCAGGUCACUCCUGCUGCCGGGGCAGGAGGCUGUGGCAGCCAAACUCCUCAGUUCCAGACCGUUGGGAUUUCCUCUGCUGACCUGAGGACAGCCUCGGUCCCCCGGGCCCACUGCUAAUGUGGCCUCAGUUCUUUUACAGCUGCUGCCUCCGGAUGUACCCAUGCAGAAGUCAGGCUUGCCACAGGUCGGGCCCGCCAUGACACGGUGUGAGACCUCGGGCUACAACACAGGACCCGGGCGCUGCUCUGACCCCUCGUGUCUUGUGUUGCAGCCGGAGGGACGCAGGUCCGCAGCACGCCUGCUCCGCCACCCCGAGGGACUGGAUGCUGGGGACUGCGUGGACUGGAAGGCUUGGGCCCCAGGUGGGUGGAAGGUGGGUGGAGGGUCUACAGAGAGGCCCGCUUGGACCACCUUAGCGGUGCCCACCUGGAGCCCUGUCUCGUCCUUGCUUAGUUUCCAAAUGAACUGCUUGGCUCAUCCCUGGUCCACUGCAGGCAGCUGGUGCCACCUGCAGGAGGGGUGGGUUUUGCGCCUGCCCUCUGUCCUCACCCCAACCCCAGGCCAGGUGACCAAGGUGCCACAGUGGGCCUGGGAGGGCAGUGAGGAGGGCUGUUGCUCCUGAAACAUCUCUCCUCUUGGUGGGAAGUCCACUAUUAGGCUUCAUUCCACAAGCAUUGCAUUUUUAGGAGUUGUCUAUUCAAAUGUGAAUAUUUUCUGCAGGGAGGUAGAUUAAAUCACUGCAGGCAUCUGCUGGGGUUCAUUGAAGACAUUACUUACCAACAUGACAGAGACUCCAGAAGGAAAUGAAAUAACAUCAUGAGCUUGGAUGGGGAGGAAGCCCCAAAAGAGAACCCUAAAGCUGGAGGUAGGAAGUGUUAAAGGCAAGGUUCUGUCACCCCAACCCUGCCUUUGUAUCUGGGGUCUGUGGGUCAUGUUUCUGCCAAGCUUCUGGCCCCAGGGCAGCGUUCUUCAAUCAGAUCCAGAUGGACCCCUAGCUCCUACAGCCAUCUGCGCAUGACUUUCCACACCUGCACUGUGUCCUAGACAGAAAGCAGCCACCUGUUCCCUUGCUUUUUACCAGCCUCAUGGUGUUCACAGAGCCCCCUCUUUUAUAAGAAUUUGACUAGUUGUUAAAUGUAAUUUGCUCAAUGCUUUUCCUUUCUCUUGAAUGAUAUGGAAGGGACCAGCGUAAAAGGAGAGAUUGCAUUUAGGUCAAAACUGAUGGGAAAGCCAUGAAGUUGAGAGGAUUGCGAUGGAGUGAAGGCUCUGGGUCACUAGUCACCGCCAUGGCCCCGGGCAAUCUGGAAAUUUCCACCACAGAACAGGUAAUGUCUGGGUUGAGGAAGCCAUGCUGCCUGGUGUCCGGGAAACCUGGGAGCUGUUGUGUGGUGCCCUGCUUGGAAAAAACUGUCAGAAGCCAAAACCAGACUAGGAUGGCAGGGAGGCUGCAACUCAGACAAAACUAGAGAAAGUAAGUGAACUAGGUAUAAAUUACUUUAGAGGCAAGCCAUUUGGUAUGAUUUUUAUUAUCAUGCAUUUAUAGAAAAGUUACUACUUGCUCUUCCCAGUCUGAACAGUUCUGUCUCAAAGCCACUUGGUGGGGCUGAGCAAGAGGAGCGUGGAGGUGGGGAGCCCCAGAGGUCCACGGCAGGUGGGUGAGAACUGCAGGUGGGUGAGGACCCCAUGCACUCUGGGAGCU